rnacentral:rRNA from 1 species
UACAGAGGUCCCAAGCGUUGUUCGGAUUCACUGGGCGUAAAGGGUGCGUAGGCGGUCGGGUAAGUCUGACGUGAAAUCUUCAAGCUCAACUUGGAAACUGCGUCCGAUACUAUUCGGCUAGAGGAAUGGAGGGGAGACUGGAAUACUUGGUGUAGCAGUGAAAUGCGUAGAUAUCAAGUGGAACACCGAUGGCGAAGGCAGGUCUCUGGGCUGACACUGACGCUCAUGCACGAAAGCGUGGGGAGCAAACAGG